GGGCAUGUCGUCUAAUGGUUAAGAUACUCACCUAGACGACUAGGGCGUAUCCAUCGUUUUCCUUUGGGUAUUGCAGAGAAAUGCGGGUUCGAGUCUCGCCAUGUCCA